ACCCUCACCCUAACCCUAACCUUAACCCUCACCCUAACCCUAACCCUAACACUUACCUUAACCCUCACCCUAACCCUAACCCUAACCCUAACACUAACCUUAACCCUCACCCUAACCCUAACCCUAACCCCGUGGAAGCAGUGAACACAGCCCCUGUAUUAAAGCCAGAUCCUCCAAUUAUGCUGCAUGAAUGCAAGGUUUCUCAUGACUGCAUCCUAGACGUUCAAUGCAUGUCUGGCAAGAAGCAGUGCAGUUAUUAUGGCGAAUCUCACAAAUGCAGAGGAUCCUGCAACAAAUAUGCCGUUUGCAACUAUGGUCAGUUCUGGGUCAGAUCAUGUCCAUUCGACUGGUCCUACCACCCAGAGUUGCAUACAUGCACAUCAGGAAAACGAUGUAUGAACGCUCCUCAAACUAAAUCCAUCGCCCAACGCCAAACACGGCCGACAUGGAACGCGACCCAAAGACAGAACCCAUACCUUCAAAACUACAGACAAAUAGGUUUUGGUUCCGGAAAAUUUUGAGAUACUUUUGGAUAAAUGUUAUUUAGAUCUACGUCUAGAUAUUCUCUUCUUUCUUAUGUAGGAGCAACUUAUUUACUCAUAUUGUUUUUCUCUUUCUUUUCAUGUUAAUUUGCCUCGGUUUGAAAAAGAUUCGGAAGUAAAUCGUUGUUUGUUUCUAACGUUGCUUUUACUUUUGCGUUGAUUCGUAUAAUAUUAGAUCAUAUAGAGUUCCCUUGAAGGAGAACCAUACACGUGCUUGGGCAUUCGUCACAGUAUUUUACCAAAAGACAACGUUGCACACACAACUGUGCGUUAAACACUGACGAUUAAGUCCUAGAAAUCCAGUUUACCACAACCUGGUUGAUUUACGUUAUCCGUUACUAUAGAUAUUGUUUUUUAAUUGUAUAUACCAUUAUGAUAACUAUGUACAAACUAAAAGAGGAUAAAACUCAUAAUAAAAUCGUUUUUUGUUGUAGUGUAUAACUUUUUAAUUUCUGCCAAUUGUGUUGUGGUAUAUUGUAGCUCACAACAUUUUGUUUUUCUCGAUCGGGAUAAAAUGACUUUGUUCCUAAUGGCACCAGGGACAGGAGGACAAUUAAAGGUUUCUAAUAUUCAGAGAUUUUAUUCUGAUUUUACUUUGAUUGGGAGACGAGCAUUGGGAACUAUGGUUCUCUGUUCCCGGAAUAACAACUUGUAGACAAAAUUUGGAUAUUGUGGACCAAUUCAACCCUGGAACACCGACAGAUGGGCUGGCAUGGAGUACACCCAAUUUAAUUAAAUAUCUCAGAAAUAUCAAGAGUUUUCCAUUAUUUGACAAAUAGAUAUUUUUGUAAAUAACAAAUUUACUUUCAACAUAUCUCAUUUUUUUAGCCAGGUUCUAUUAAGGUACACUUCCGCCAUUUAAAUAUUGAACGAGUACCUGGUGUCAUCCCUGAUUUGCAGUGAGAUAUUCAAAUAAUUUUCACCGCUAUUUUUCCUUUUACGCCGAGUGAAAUCUGUUUUAUAAAAUAUCCAAAUUGAUUAUUCUCUGGGAUUGACGUCAUAUUUACUUGAAAAGGGUAGAUUUAAAAACGAUAUUACAUGGCAGUAGUUUAGUCAGCAGAUCUACAAACAUGACUAUUCUUAAAUCAGUUCCCGAUAUCAUUGUCAAAAGCAAAAGAUUCGAGUAACUUAAUUUUAUGUAUGUAGUAAUGGAAAGCUGCUUGCUUCAAUGUAUCGGCUUUGUGUAUUUCAUUUGUGCAUUUAGUAUGU
rnacentral:lncRNA from 1 species